CUGAGGGGUUGGACCCUGGCUGUCUUCUCUUGGCUUCCCUGGGCUCCACGAGAAAGCGUGUCUUCUGGAGGAAAAGCAAAACCUCAACAGCCUUAUUUUUGGAGCGCUGUGGACAUGACCAGACCUAUUAAUUACUUAAUUGAGGCACAGAGCUUUGAAGAUGAAAAGUACCGGAUGCACCUGACUUGAGGAAUGUGAUGGCUGUUUGGCUUUGAUGACCCUUUGGACAAGACCGACUCUUCCUGGGUGGCGUCUACAUCACAUUACUGUCUUGGAGAAUAAAGGACAUGGGGAGAUGAGGAGUGGCCCUUGCAAAUGGAAUCAAGACACAGGUUCAUCUCAAAGCAUCCGUAUCAACAUGCCAAUCCUCAGAAACUCACUGUAAAGACACUGCGUGGGCUGGAGAGAUGACUCCGUGGAGAAAGCGCUCACCAUGCACACACAAGGACCUGAGUUUGACUUCCGGGAACCCAUGGAAAUCUAGGUGCGGCAGCAUGCACUUGUGAUCCUGCUGCUCCCGCAUGAAGACAGGAGGUGGAGCUCCUGUCUGUGUGACUCCGCAGCCUGCCCUGUGGGCCAUCCCACCCUGAUGUCCUUCCCAAUGCAUCUGUGACAAAGACCGGAUUUUUCAGCAUCACACCCGUGUGGUGUUGGGAUUAGGAGAGAUGGACUCUGCAUCCAGAAUGCCACUUCAUCCCUAAGUUACGUGCUGGGACUCUUUCUCUGUUCAAACCAUGAGGAGGAGACUGCUUGUCCCAGAGUAGAGUGGUCUCACAUGGUUGCUUAGCAAGUGAGGAAGUUACUAGUGGCCUUUAAAAUCUGGUCUCCUGCAGCCCCGGUCCUUAAACCACCAACGGUAGGGAAUUGAGAUUGUUUCCUUAGGGUGUUGAAGCUAGAAGUCAUUGCUACUGCUGUAGUAAACAAUGUCGUAUUGCAAAGGUUCUGUGCAUCCUGUGCUUUGAACACUCAUGGAGAAGCUGCCUUUUACGAGCCACAUGCACACUCAGCCUCGGCUCAGAAUAUUGCUUGUGUGGGAGAAUGCACUUCGUUAUGUACGAGUUCUAAACUAUAGCAUCCAGACAAUUCUUGGGACCCUGCCUGCCUGUUAUAAGGCGAGUCACUUCCUGUCCUGGGGCAUCUCCCCAGCUUUCCAUGUGAGCAUGGCUUAUUUACCCCUCAACUUGGUUAUGUUUCUAGUUGCUGUAGGCCUGGGCACGAUACUGUCAGGUGAACUCCCACAGCCCUCCAGUGACACCCCACCCUCUUACCUCCUCUUCAGCCUGGCAUCCUCAGUGCUGUUGGCAUCUCGACUUGUCCCAAAUGGGUCCCUAUCUAUUCUUUAGAGAGCCUUAAGGGCUUCUUGUUAAGACAGAGAAAAGAGGACAAUGAUAAAAGAAGAAUAAGGAAAAGAAGAAAGGAAGAGGCAGAACAGAAAAAAGAUAGAUGAGAACAGAAGACACACGGUGGGUGGUGGUGAACACAACAAAAUACCUCAACAGAAAGACCGAAGGAAAAGAAACCAAGGAAUGAUUUCUGCUAGUCUCCACAGAAGCCAUUUCUCAGCCAAAACGAGCAGAAAGAGGGGAAUAAGGAAGAGAAUUUGGGUGCUUAGCCUGACCAGGUGAUGACUUGGCAGGUGUGUCCCACAGUGGGCAGCUACAGCAAGUCCUCCCAGUCCUCAGCACAUGGCGCUGUGCUGGGGUGCAUGCUGUGGACAGACCUGAGCUGGGAAGUGUGGCAUGUGUCCUAAAUGGUCUUAAUAAAAACCCAGAG